AUGGUGAACAACACGAUCCCAAACAACCUUGUUUCAAUAAAAUUUCAACACCACCUUAUCCUAAUCCAAUGCACUGAACCUAAAUAUAGUUCUAAUUCCUUGAGAGAAUCCAUCUAUAUGACUAGAUCUAAGGAUAAUCACAAUGGAAACCUAAUUUCGAAAGUUUGGUUAAACAGAAUUUAG